AGUGUACAAGCAAAAGCUUCUGGUGGCACCAUGCAAUUUAAGGAUACAUGUUUUUUAUUUUUGUGUCCUCCUGUACAGGUUUAAUUGCAAGAUGGGUUUGAAGGAAUUAAGGAUAGUCUGCUGAAAGUAGCACCAGCCCCUGGAUUAAAAGGGAUGUUUGGAUGAAGCUUCGAUCUCAAGAAGAGUGCUCCUGCGCCACUCUGAAAUCCCUUCCUAGUUUUACCCAGCUGGAAACGCCACUACCUUAGCCACACUGAAGUUCCUCUACAUUCUUCAUUUCUGCACGUGCAGGAGGUGGAUCCCAGAUGCUGCUGCUGAGGAUGGGAAUCUCCAGAUUGGGAUGUCUGCAUGCCAGAGCUUGUGCAAGAUGAUCCACUAGGCCUGUAGCAAUUUCAGUUUCAAUUUAUAUUUUUCUUUUUCUUUUAAUCCCUAUUUUUUGGGGUAUUUUAUGAUGCACAUAAUGUAUUAGUAAAAUAUACACGCAUAUAAUUAAAAAUAAACAUGCAUAUGGUAGUGUCUUAGCCUAGGCUGCUGUGACAGAAUACCAUAAACUGGGUGUUUAUGCAACAAACAUUUAUUUCUCACAGUUCUAGAGGCUGAAACUGAGGGUGCCAGCAUGGCUGGGUUCUAGUGAGGGCCCUCUUCUGGGUUGCAGACAGAUAUCUUCUUGUUGUGUUCUCACAUGGCAGAGAGACUUAUCUGUCUUGUGUUUCUUCUUAUAAGGACACCAAUCCCAUUCA
rnacentral:lncRNA from 1 species